rnacentral:lncRNA from 11 species
GCUGAAUGGCGCUCUUGCACAAUACACUAGCUACGACAAACAAACAAACAGACAAAAACUUGUUUCAAAUUUUCAUCUCAUCCAGGAUUUUGUAAUGGCAGCAGCCCUAGUAAAUGAUUCAGAAACACAAUUAUACCCUGAUUGCAACUUAUAAAGAUCUAGUAUUGCACUGUGCUACAGCUUCCUCCAAAAACUGAUUACAGCAAUUUGAUUUUUCCAGGAGCGUGGUGUUCAUACAAAAUAAGUGAUUUAUCUUUUUGGAAACAACAGAAUUUCACAGUUGGAAUUACAGCCAAGAACAAACAGAAAAGAAACCUUGCACUCUCAUGGAUGGCUCUGCUAAUGCAUGCAGCUGCAGAAAUUCAAAUUGCUUCCUUUCGUAAUGCAGUAAGGUACAGGCUGGAUCCUAUUGAGGAGUUACAAAUCUAUAACUACUGUGGGUACAGAGUUACGCAGAAUUCCAACCCAACUCUUCCCAUUGCCACUUGCCAAAAAGCAGUUGCAGCAGUUGAUGGAGUCUGUUUUCUUAUAACUUGGAAAGCUUCUAAUGUUUCUCACCACUCUCCUGCAGAAUUGGGGUCUUUGUCAUAGUUCCCCCUCACACCAGAGAUUAUUGGCAUGAUGGAGGCCGGGAACACCAAUAAUUUGCUUUCCAAGUGACCGGGGAAUUAAGCCCCCUUGAUUUCAAUGGCUGCUUCUUCAUAAGUGGGGAUGGAGGGACUUUCAUGUUUACUAUGUGUCACCCCAAGUAGAGGGUUGUGAAGGUUAAGCAUCCAUAAUUCCCCAGCAGGACUCUGACCCAUGUUAUUACUGGUGAUGCAUUAUCUGUAUUUCAAACCCUGGCUGUUAAAAACCAGGGGUGGAGAUCAUUUGGCUUUCAAGGUAUUGUCAGAUCACAAUUUCCAGAAUUUACCCACUGCUCUGGUGCCUGACCUCUCUCUCUUUAACCAAAGUAAAAUGGUCACAAACUUUGAAGCAAAGUCAUGAGAUUGGAUCAAAGAUGUUACAGUUCUCACAGUAUUCCUGUGAUCAUAAAUGAGUUACGA